UCUGCAUCUACGGUUGAGAGUUAUCCAGU
rnacentral:piRNA from 1 species